rnacentral:lncRNA from 1 species
GAGACAUUGACAUUUAGGGAUGUGGCCAUAGAAUUCUCUCUGGAGGAGUGGGAAUGCCUGAACCCUGCUCAGCAGAAUUUAUAUAUGAAUGUGAUGUUAGAAAACUACAAAAACCUGGUCUUCUUGGCAGGUGUUGCUGUCUCUAAGCAAGACCCAGUCACCUGUCUGGAGCAAGAAAAAGAGCCCUGGAAUAUGAAGAGACAUGAGAUGGUGGAUGAACCCCCAGCUAUGUGUUCUUAUUUUACCAAAGACCUUUGGCCAGAGCAAGACAUAAAAGAUUCUUUUCAACAAGUAAUACUGAGAAGAUAUGGCAAAUGUGAACAUGAGAAUUUACAGUUAAGAAAAG